CAGUAGCCACGGUAAUACGUAGGUGGCAAGCGUCGUCCGGAAUUAUUGGGCGUAAAGGGCUCGCAGGCGGUUUCUUAAGUCUGAUGUGAAAGCCCCCGGCUCAACCGGGGAGGGUCAUUGGAAACUGGGAAACUUGAGUGCAGAAGAGGAGAGUGGAAUUCCACGUGUAGCGGUGAAAUGCGUAGAGAUGUGGAGGAACACCAGUGGCGAAGGCGACUCUCUGGUCUGUAACUGACGCUGAGGAGCGAAAGCGUGGGGAGCGAACAGGAUUAGAUACCCCAGUAGUCCCUGUCUCUUAUAC
rnacentral:rRNA from 1 species